UCAGUUGGUAGAGCGCUUCACUGGAAACGCAGAAGUCCCUGGUUCGAUACCAGGCGGAUUUU
rnacentral:tRNA from 1 species